GUACACAAAAAUGCACAUAUUGUGAGCUCGAUGAGUAGGGCGGGACACGUGGUAUCCUGUCUGAAUAUGGGGGGACCAUCCUCCAAGGCUAAAUACUCCUGACUGACCGAUAGUGAACCAGUACCGUGAGGGAAAGGCGAAAAGAACCCCGGCGAGGGGAGUGAAAAAGAACCUGAAACCGUGUACGUACAAGCAGUGGGAGCCUCUUUAUGGGGUGACUGCGUACCUUUUGUAUAAUGGGUCAGCGACUUAUAUUCUGUAGCAAGGUUAACCGAAUAGGGGAGCCGAAGGGAAACCGAGUCUUAACUGGGCGUUAAGUUGCAGGGUAUAGACCCGAAACCCGGUGAUCUAGCCAUGGGCAGGUUGAAGGUUGGGUAACACUAACUGGAGGACCGAACCGACUAAUGUUGAAAAAUUAGCGGAUGACUUGUGGCUGGGGGUGAAAGGCCAAUCAAACCGGGAGAUAGCUGGUUCUCCCCGAAAGCUAUUUAGGUAGCGCCUCGUGAAUUCAUCUCCGGGGGUAGAGCACUGUUUCGGCAAGGGGGUCAUCCCGACUUACCAACCCGAUGCAAACUGCGAAUACCGGAGAAUGUUAUCACGGGAGACACACGGCGGGUGCUAACGUCCGUCGUGAAGAGGGAAACAACCCAGACCGCCAGCUAAGGUCCCAAAGUCAUGGUUAAGUGGGAAACGAUGUGGGAAGGCCCAGACAGCCAGGAUGUUGGCUUAGAAGCAGCCAUCAUUUAAAGAAAGCGUAAUAGCUCACUGGUCGAGUCGGCCUGCGCGGAAGAUGUAACGGGGCUAAACCAUGCACCGAAGCUGCGGCAGCGACACUAUGUGUUGUUGGGUAGGGGAGCGUUCUGUAAGCCUGUGAAGGUGGCCUGUGAGGGUUGCUGGAGGUAUCAGAAGUGCGAAUGCUGACAUAAGUAACGAUAAAGCGGGUGAAAAGCCCGCUCGCCGGAAGACCAAGGGUUCCUGUCCAACGUUAAUCGGGGCAGGGUGAGUCGACCCCUAAGGCGAGGCCGAAAGGCGUAGUCGAUGGGAAACAGGUUAAUAUUCCUGUACUUGGUGUUACUGCGAAGGGGGGACGGAGAAGGCUAUGUUGGCCGGGCGACGGUUGUCCCGGUUUAAGCGUGUAGGCUGGUUUUCCAGGCAAAUCCGGAAAACCAAGGCUGAGGCGUGAUGACGAGGCACUACGGUGCUGAAGCGACAAAUGCCCUGCUUCCAGGAAAAGCCUCUAAGCAUCAGGUAACAUCAAAUCGUACCCCAAACCGACACAGGUGGUCAGGUAGAGAAUACCAAGGCGCUUGAGAGAACUCGGGUGAAGGAACUAGGCAAAAUGGUGCCGUAACUUCGGGAGAAGGCACGCUGAUAUGUAGGUGAAGCGACUUGCUCGUGGAGCUGAAAUCAGUCGAAGAUACCAGCUGGCUGCAACUGUUUAUUAAAAACACAGCACUGUGCAAACACGAAAGUGGACGUAUACGGUGUGACGCCUGCCCGGUGCCGGAAGGUUAAUUGAUGGGGUUAGCGGCAACGCGAAGCUCUUGAUCGAAGCCCCGGUAAACGGCGGCCGUAACUAUAACGGUCCUAAGGUAGCGAAAUUCCUUGUCGGGUAAGUUCCGACCUGCACGAAUGGCGUAAUGAUGGCCAGGCUGUCUCCACCCGAGACUCAGUGAAAUUGAACUCGCUGUGAAGAUGCAGUGUACCCGCGGCAAGACGGAAAGACCCCGUGAACCUUUACUAUAGCUUGACACUGAACAUUGAGCCUUGAUGUGUAGGAUAGGUGGGAGGCUUUGAAGUGUGGACGCCAGUCUGCAUGGAGCCGACCUUGAAAUACCACCCUU
rnacentral:rRNA from 1 species